CUGUUCAGUUCCAUUAAAAAAAUAUCUGGAGUCAAGUUCCAACAGUUGAGACAAAAAAGCCAAACAAGCACAGUGGAAUAUAUAGGUCUAUAUUAAAAGAAGGACACAGAGGCCGGACUGGAUAUCAGCAGAGGCCAAUUUCCAUGAAUUCACAACAGACCAUGUAUACUUGCAGCUGGCCACACAACACAGUGAACUGCUGGCUGGGUCACUGCACAGGACAAGAGGUGGGAAUAGCCUUGUGGAGCUAAACAGGCCCCUCAGUGAAUACAUUAAGCUCCACAAAUGUGUAAAAAUGUGCUGACAUGAAAUUAAUCAAUAAAAUAAUAAUACAGCAUAAGAAAGUUGACUUCAAUUUGUUUUACUUUGCGAAUGUUACCCUUUUAAGUAUUGGGAGAUAGGUGGGAGUUGGUUGGGAGUUGGAGUUGUGGGGAAAUGUGGAUUUUAAACAACUAAGUUCAAGACUAAUCUAGCAAACUGAGUCAUUCUUAGUCGACCAAAAAUCAGUAUUGUGUGACAUUUCUUCUUAAAAAAUUACUCAAAACGAUUAAUCGAUUCUCAA